rnacentral:lncRNA from 1 species
UCCAAAUUUCUAAGAGGAAGAGAGGUCUCAGGUACUACGAAAGGUGCACAUACAGAUAAAUGUAAACAAAUAACACUCAGAGAGAGAUACAUGCAAGCAAAUAACACUUACAUAGAGAGACCUUCAUGAGUUUUUGUCAGAUAAAAAAGAAAGAAAAAAAAGGGAGACCUUCAUGAGUCAUGGCUACCCCUCAAUACACUGCCUUCCACACACUCCAGAUCGUGGUUUAGUAGCGGAACGCACAGUAGUCGAAGGAGAGUUAGCCUGCCACUAUUCCUGAUAAUGGAU